rnacentral:rRNA from 1 species
UACGUAGGGUGCAAGCGUUUGUCCGGAAUUAUUGGGCGUAAAGAGCUCGUAGGCGGUUUGUCGCGUCUGCUGUGAAAACUGGAGGCUCAACCUCCAGCCUGCAGUGGGUACGGGCAGACUAGAGUGCGGUAGGGGAGAUUGGAAUUCCUGGUGUAGCGGUGGAAUGCGCAGAUAAUCAGGAGGAACACCGAUGGCGAAGGCAGAUCUCUGGGCCGUAACUGACGCUGAGGAGCGAAAGCAUGGGGGAGCGA